AGAGUUUGAUCCUGGCUCAGAACGAACGCUGGCGGCGUGCCUAACACAUGCAAGUCGAACGGAUUUGAGGGGCUUGCUCCUCAAGUUAGUGGCGCACGGGUGAGUAACGCGUAGAUAAUCUGCCUGAUGAUCUGGGAUAACACUUCGAAAGAGGUGCUAAUACCGGAUAAGCCCACGAAGUCCUAGGACUUUGCGGGAAAAGGGGGGGACCUUCGGGCCUUCUGUCAUCAGAUGAGUCUGCGUACCAUUAGCUAGUUGGUAGGGUAAUGGCCUACCAAGGCUACGAUGGUUAGCUGGUUUGAGAGAAUGAUCAGCCACACUGGAACUGAGACACGGUCCAGACUCCUACGGGAGGCAGCAGUGGGGAAUUUUGCGCAAUGGGCGAAAGCCUGACGCAGCAACGCCGCGUGAGUGAUGAAGGCUUUCGGGUCGUAAAGCUCUGUCGAGGGGAAAGAAGUGUAUUGUGGUUAAUACCCGCGAUACUUGACGGUACCCCUAAAGGAAGC
rnacentral:rRNA from 1 species